rnacentral:tRNA from 1 species
CGGUGUGUAGUAUAGAGGUAAUACACGUGCUUUGGGAGCAUGAAUCCGAGGUUCAAUUCCUCGCACACCGACCA